GCAGACCGGAUGGAAGCCGGAGCUAUUGGCAGCCUGUGACUGGUUCCCCUGGGAAGGCCGCUCUGGUGAUGAACUCAGCUCCUCACCUGGGGCCUGGCAGCCCGAUCACGGAAACGAGAAUUGCGACCCCGUGGCUCAUCCGGGGUGCAGCGGCUCUGUAAUCGUGUGGGUUUCUCUCGUCUUUGGGGGCAGGAACGGGCAGCGAGUGGCCGCUUGGAUUAACCACCCCCACCUCUGGGCGCGGCUGGCACCUUGUAAUUAGGUCACUCGUAGGUGGAGGAGCGUGUACCUACCGGGGGAGUGCCGCGCAGUGCACCUGACUUCCCCGACACACACCCGUCCCCGGACCUAGGUGUUUCGUCGGGCGCGAUGAGCUUCCACGCGCUCCACGCCCCGCUCCUCGCCCGUGGUUGCUUUCCUCCAAGUUCGAUUCUCUCUGGGAAUGAGAGACCCUCAACCCCUGCGCGCCCUGUCCUACUUUCAAGAGGGGAAGCCCGGAGAAGAUGGAUGCACCUGUCCUGACCGCGUCUCGGUGGCGUGAGAAGCAGCUGUGAUACGUGCUUAAAAGAGAGAGCUCGUAUACCCUAGGAUUGGACCGCUGUCUGGUUAUGAAUCGCUUUGGAGUUUGCGAAACGUUUUCACAUUCUAUUGUCCCUGCUUUUACAUAAAUAUCUGGUUCCAUAGAGCGCCAGCUAUGUACCAGAUCCGGAGGGGUCAUCCAGACGGACCAGGGACCAUGCCCUGGAGCUUGUAUUCUCCCAACAGUACUGGCUGAAGAUGGUUUGGGAUAGGCAGAAGAGAGAUCAUAAUGCCCCCAGGAUUUGAGAGAUGUAGAAGCUUUCCAAAGAACAUUUACCAUAAAGGGCAAGGCAAGAGCUGAACCUGAUCGCCUGUCUUCCAGGAGCCCCACCCUCAGUAUCAGGCAACCCUUCCACACCCAAGUGCUCAGCGAUGCUUGGGAGGAGAGUGCUCACUCUGCGGCUCUCAGGGCAUAAUCCCCACCAACAGGCUGAAGAAGGCACUGGAGGCCCCAUCAGCCAAUAGCAGGACUGAAAAUCCUCCUUUAUCCAAGACAACCUGUUUGGCAAGGCCGACUGGCUUGGCCCCCCUAGGCUGGAAAUUGCAAUUCUGCUUUCCCUUCACACCUCCCAUUAGUGUGCACAAAAGAAAGUACCUCAGAUCUACUCUUCUAGAAGUCUUAUCACAUACUUAAUUUACCAGACUGGGAAAAAGACCCUUUAGCCCAAAUUCUGUCCCUGUUUUGCAGUUAACAUCCCCAAACAAUAGAAGGGUAAGAGUUAAGACCAAGUGGAAUGAAUAAGGAAAAAAUCAUCACUUAGUGCCCGUGAUUAUAAAGCCAUACCCAGUGUGCUGUCUAA
rnacentral:lncRNA from 1 species